GGGUCAAUGAUGACAAACUAUGUUAUGAAGAGAUAUGAUGACAUAAAAACCAAGCACCAAAGGGUUAAGCUGAGGCCC